rfam:Sus scrofa isolate TJ Tabasco breed Duroc chromosome 12, whole genome shotgun sequence.
UCCCUGGUGGUCUAGAGGUUAGGACUCAGCACUGUCACUGCUGCGGCUCAGGCUCGAUCCCUGGUCUGGGAA